CUUGUUCUUUAAAUAGGGACUCGUAUCAACGGCAUCACGAGGGUUCUACUGUCUCCCCUCUCUAAUCAGUGAAACUGACUUCCCCGUGAAGAGGCGGGGAUACAACUACAAGACGAGAAGACCCCAUGGAGCUUUAAACCCGUUAACAGCCUCUAUUGAAAUACCCCCACACAAAUGAAAAGCAAUGUAUAACGGUUUUAGGUUGGGGUGACCGCGGAGCAAAACCAAACCUCCAUGACGAACGGAUAUACAUCCUAAUCCAUGAGCCACCACUCUAAGAAUCAAAAACUUGACAUAAUAUGAUCCGGCAACCGAUCAACGAACCAAGUUACCCUGGGGAUAACAGCGCAAUCCAUUUCAAGAGCCCCUAUCGACAAAUGGGUUUACGACCUCGAUGUUGGAUCAGGGUAUCCUAGUGGUGCAGCCGCUACUGAAGGUUUGUUUGUUCAACAAUUAAAACCCU
rnacentral:rRNA from 1 species